GACGAACGCUGGCGGCGUGCUUAACACAUGCAAGUCGAACGGAGUGGCGAACGGGUGAGUAACGCGUAAUCAACCUGCCCUUACGGGGGGGACAACAGUUGGAAACGACUGCAAAUCCGGCAUACUGAAUGAGGGGGUGGCGUCUGGUUAGCUAGUUGGCGGGGUAACGGCCCACGAAGGCGAUUGUCAGUAGCCGGUCUGAGAGGGUGAACGGCCACAUUGGGACUGGGACACGGCCCAGACUCCUACGGGAUGCAGCAGUGGGGAAUCUUCCGCAAUGGACGCAAGUCUGACGGAGCAACGCCGCGUGAGUGAUGACGGCCUUCGGGUUGUAAAGCUCUGUUAAUCGGGACGCGGUACCGGAAUAGAAAGCCACGGCUAACUACGUGCCAGCAGCCGCGGUAAUAC
rnacentral:rRNA from 1 species